rnacentral:rRNA from 1 species
GUGCUAAGGUAGCAUAUAUCAUUUGGUUUUUAAUAGAGAUCUGGAAUGAAAGGUUUAACAAAUAUUAGUUUCUUACUUAUAAGGAGUGAAUUUAAGAGUCAAGUAAAAACGCUUGAAUUAUUUGUGGGACGAUAAGACCCUAAAAGCUUUAUUUUUAAUAUUAAAAUAUUUUUAUUAUUUAAUAUACUAAAAAGUUGGUUGGGGUAACAACUCUAAAUAUAUUAGGGUAAUUUUUUAUAAGCUAAUUAAAUAAAGACCCUCAUUAUUGGGGUGUUAGUUGUAGUUACUUUAGGGGUAACAGGGUAAUUAUUUUAUAGAGCUCUUAUCUAUAGAAUAGAUUGCUACCUCGAUGUUGAAUUAAGAUUUCGGCGUAAUGAAAAAGGUUCGUUUGAGGGUUUGUUCAACCUUUAAUUUUUUACAUGAUCUGAGUUCAAACCGGA